AGUGUGUAGACGUGUUUUAGUGUCAGUAAGUGUAAACAAAGAUAAGUGUCAGUCGUGUUUUUUUUUAAAUCGUCUCAGUGACCGUAAUAUGACCGCUACUUCACUGAUUCUACAGAAUAAGAAAAAAUAGACAUGUCUGUAUAAGGUCAUAGAGUGAAGUGUUGCCAGUCCUGCUACUGACUUCCAGUUCAUCCCUUCACCUGUCAUUGGAUCAGUCAAGAUCGCAAUUAGUGAGAGGGUAUCAGUCUUCUCACUAUACGGCUCUGGAGUGAACUGCUCCAGAAUGUUUUUGUCUUCAAAUAAGCUUUGAAGGACUUCCUCAGCGGCAGGCAGCUUAAUGUCCAUGGACGACACUAACAGCUUAUGAUAAGGUGAGCUUUAGGCUCGACCGAUUUCAAUAGCAAUUUCUUUUCAUGCUUCUGAAUAGUCUUCAAUUUCUUCUUCAAUUAUUAUCCAAGUUCAUUCUGUUCAAACAUUUAUUUAAAAGGCACAUACAUCCCUAAACGCACACGUAGAAAUUCACAUUGUACUGAAUGUCAAAUUCGUUGGUAAAAUUUCAACAUCAAGCUAUGACGUUACCCUUUCUUCAUCAAGUACCAACAUACACGCGGUAACAAGAUUUUCUCGUACAUUCGCAUUUUCAUCAACAAAACUACAUAAAUUCUAUCUUGCCUCUCGAAAAAUAAGUCUCAAUAUCGUUUAAAAAACACAACACACAACUGUUUAUGUGCAAAUGAAAAUACAACUUAAGUCAUCGAAAUACAAUCCUAUUUUUAAUGCGACUCGGAAUAAAUCUGCACACAUACAAAAAAGGUUUUAGAAAACAUACGAGCCAGAUUUGGUUCAAUGCU